rnacentral:rRNA from 1 species
CCUACGGGUGGCAGCAGUGGGGAAUAUUGCACAAUGGGGGAAACCCUGAUGCAGCGACGCCGCGUGAGGGACGAUGUAAUAUGUUCUGUAAACCUCUAUCAGCAGGGAACAAAAUGACGGUCCCUGAGUCAGAAGCCCCGGCUAACUACGUGACAGUCGCCUCGGUCCUACGUAGGGGGCAGGCGUUUACGGGCUUUACGGGGUGUAAAGGGAGUGUUGACGGGAGUGCAGGUCUGGAGUGAAAGGCUGGGGCUCAACCCGCGGACUGCCAUGGAGACUGUACGGCUGGAGUGCAGUAGAGGUAAGUGGAAUUCCUGGUGUAGCGGUGAAAUGCGUAGAUAUUAGGAAGAACACCAGUGGCGAAGGCAGCUUACUGGACUGUAACUGACGUUGAGGCUCGAAAGCGUGGGGAGCAAACAGGAUUAGAUACCCGAGUAGUC